rnacentral:lncRNA from 1 species
AAAACACACCAUCCUUCUUUGUUCAUGGAUCUGAGAUGUCACCUCAAAUCUUACCCACAACCCACAAGAGACAACAAGGCACAUUUAACAAGUAUGACAUAUAGAUUUCCUGAGCUGGACCCCUGUUCCACGUGGUGGCUGCUAGGUGGGAUCUACUCCAGUGUGAACCCCUCUACUCUGGUGGUGAUGGCUCGGAAGUUGGCACAGUGCCCAGCUCUCAGAAGCCAUGUAGACCUGCUCUAGUGCAGGCUGAGCCCUCUUUGAGGCCAGGCACCAAGGACUUGACCUUGAAGGGGGAAGAGAUGCGGCCAGAUAACUUGAGAUUGAGAAGAUGAACAGAUGUGAGGAAAAGCAGCCACCUGGGAGCCAGAUUAUGUCCCUGGGUGAGUCCGUGGGGCCCCUUUGGCCUGCAUAGUAAGUAUAUAUAAAAAAACCAUUUGUUUCCAAUAGUUAAAAAUUCUACAAUUUCAUAUAAACGGCUGGGUUUGGGGCCUAAGGAAGAAAAAUGUUGCAAAUAUCUGGCAACAUUCCUUACAUGGAACUUGCAGGGGACUGCACCUCUUUAGAACUAGAUAUGCCAUUCCAGACCCUGGCCACCUGGCACCAGAGCACAUGUGCUAUUGGUUUUUUUGGUUGUUUCUUGUCAGGUAUAAGGAAUGCCAUCCCAUUCUUGAAGGCAUCAUACCAAAAAAAAAAAAAAAAAAAAAGGAAAAAGGAAAAAUGGGCAUCGCUCCCAGAAGUGAUUGCUGUGCCUCCCUAGGUCUUCGGCUUGGCCCUACAGGUACCUGUGCUUUGCCAAGGGUUACUGGAGCAUGCCCAACAAUAACUCUCACAGGUUUCUGUCACACACCACCCUGCCUCUUCAGGAUCUGUCAGCCCCAGUGUUGACAAGUUAAGUUGCAAAGAGAAUGCAGUUAAUCACAGAAGUUAAUAGAGGGACCCAAGACUGACUACCUAGACCUCUUUGCAGGAAGAGAGGCUCAGGAUGGAAUGAGAAAUUAAUACGGUUAUCCUGGUUUUAAAGUUGGUGACUAAAACAAAGAAGUGGGGUGAGCAUAACUCCAGGAGGUCCAGGUUGGGCCAGUUUUGACCUUAGGAUUCCCAAACAUGUUGGUUCCCAUUCCUUGACUGUUUUGGAUACGAAAGAAAUUCUUAGAAAGUUGGUAGGGGUGCAAAGGAGCAUGGCUUACAGCCCAUCAGAUGUUGGGCCUGGUCCAUCCUCCCUCAGGUCAGGUUGCAAUGAUUUCCAGAGAGGGUAGAGAACCGUAGGAGGAUAGAGUUAGAGGCAGGCAGGCCUGGGCACCGGAACACAGAAGAAGAGGCCUGCCGUGCUGGUGCCCCUUCAUUCUGUGGUGGCUGCUGCCAGGUUAUCUGCCCUUGAGAGAGGCAGCAAUCUUGAUGCAGCCCAGGCGCUUCCCACCACUGCUCAAGAUACUCUGGAUGCGGUAGUUGCCUGUGCUCAGCCAGCUCGGUAGCUCUAGGUCAGGCACUGUGAAGUUGCUCGUGGGUAGUGAGUAGGUACCCUG